rnacentral:rRNA from 1 species
GAAUCCCGUCUUUGGCAUGGACCCCCAGGGCUUCUGUGAUGCGCUCUCAAAGAGUCGAGUUGUUUGGGAAUGCAGCUCAAAAUGGGUGGUGAACUCCAUCUAAAGCUAAAUAUUGGCGAGAGACCGAUAGCGAACAAGUACCGUGAGGGAAAGAUGAAAAGCACUUUGGAAAGAGAGUGAAACAGUACGUGAAAUUGUUGAAAGGGAAACGCUUGAAGUCAGUCGCGUCGACCGAGACUCAGCCUUGCCUUGGCUUGGUGUACUUCUCGGCUGACGGGUCAGCAUCAAUUUUGAUCCUUGGAUAAUGGCAAGGGAAAGGUAGCACCUUUAUAGGUGUGUUAUAGUCCUCUGUCGGAUGCAAGGGUUGGGAUUGAGGAACUCAGCAUGCACCUUGUCGGUGUCGGGGCCUUGGCCCACGUUACGUGCUUAGGAUGCUGGCAUAAUGGCUUUAAACGACCCGUCUUGAAACACGGACCAAGGAGUCUAACAUGCACGCGAGUGUUCGGGUGGAAAACCCGUGCGCGUAAUGAAAGUAAAAGUUGGGACCUCUGUCGUGGAGGGCACCGACGCCCGGACCAGACCUUCUGUGACGGCUCUGCGGUAGAGCGUGUAUGUUGGGACCCGAAAGAUGGUGAACUAUGCCUGAAUAGGGUGAAGCCAGAGGAAACUCUGGUGGAGGCUCGUAGCGAUUCUGACGUGCAAAUCGAUCGUCAAAUUUGGGUAUAGGGGCGAAAGACUAAUCGAACCAUCUAGUAGCUGGUUCCUGCC